ACCAAUUAUACACCUCAAAUUCAUUUUUUUAAUCAGUCUUGCAUCUCUUCACAUUGGCAGACGUGCGCGAAUUACAGUGGCAAUGACUGGGAUAGCUUUAGUGAAAAUGGGGCCUAUUUUAAUUGACUGAUAAUGUUAGCUAAACAAUCCUAGUCAACUUUAAAGACUCAACUUUUGCAAAUCUCCAGCAACAGCUCUCCUUUUCCAAGAUUAGUAUAGUCCCUUCGGUUCAUCUGCUUCCGAAGAUGAAACCGAUGAGGCAUGGUCACGCUCCACAAACAACUUUCUCAAUAGCAGCAGGAGAGACGAUUCUUUCGAGUUUUUAGCUUGGGAAAUGCCAUCAACGUCAAAUAAGAGAUCUCUAUUGAAUAAAGGAAAAAGCAGCUAAAUUUAUCUAUUUUGAAAUGCAUCAUCAGCAGAAAUAGAGAAUUAGUCUCAAAUUCAAGAUAUGAAGAGUCCGAAUAUGGUGCUUUGCUUUUUUCCUGGGAGCUAAUUUUUGCUACUCAAGCAGUGCAAUAACUUUGUUAGAAUUCUUUCUUGCAAUAACUCUCGUGCAGGCCAAACUCGCCUGCAUUUCUUGCAAUAACUCACCUGCAUUUCUUCCUCAAAAACAUAAACUAUUUGGAGAAAAUGAUAUUUGCUUUGGUCUUACAAAGAGACUGAAAGAGAAUUAAUGGUGAGGAAGACUUGUGAUGGUUGUUGGAUAAAGACAAGUAGGAAGUUGGGCCAAAAUGUGGUUGGAGGAGGUUCCGUGGGUAUGGUUGUCCAACAGGAGAUAAAAAAAGGUACUGAUAAUUUGCAAAGUGUUGUUGAAAGGAUAGCCGCUAAGAGCCAAACUGGACAAAAUUUAUCCACUUUGGCCUUCAUAAAUUUAAUUAACCCUUCUAUUGGCGAUUGUAUUCAUGCUCUCAUCUGCUAGAGUGGAAAGGUGCAAGACUGAUGCAAAAAAAAUGGACUGGAGGUGCAUCAUUGGACCCCCGCAAAGUUAAAGGUGUUGUAGAGUUAUUUUUUCAAAGUUGAGAUGCAAAUUUAUAUAUUUAGCCAAAAAGAUGCUCUAUUGAAAAGUGGUUUGAUUUUCAAAUGGUAGAUGGAAAAGGUGUUUCUGAU